rnacentral:sRNA from 1 species
GUAUUUGAUUACAAGUUGCAAAAUUACUUAUUCCAUUUAUUUAAAUUAAUGGAAUAAGUAAGUUGGCAACUUGUAAUCAAAUACACCCAUCAU